AUCUCGGCUGCCCUCCGGCCACGCCCCUGUUUCUGGAAGCCUCCAGGCUGCAACUUAGGCUCUCUUGCCAAAUGUGGAUGUCCCGAUCCUUUGUCACCUAGACCUUGACAAAUUAGGACAAUCUGAGGUGAGAGCUACCCACCCAUCUGCCUUACAGGAAUAACCCUAUUCGCUUGGAGGACAAAGCCAGCCUAAGAAAGUGGCCAGUCAGGGCAUAUACCGCCGUCUUCAGCCAGACUGCCCAGCCUUCCUGAGAUUGGCCAGGCAUCACUUCUGGCACGCCACCGUGAUGGCCAAGGUGACACUUGCUGUCUAGACUGAAGCCUAUUGGCUUCCCGCUCUAAGAGCUUUGGCCUCAGAGUUUCCAAGAGAUGAGCCCCCCGGCAGUGGUCAGAUGGUAGCCCUCAUCAGAACCCCAGCAUCCCCACUCCAUCAACAGAAGCCAGGACACAGGCCUGUGACCAGUCUACCAGCAGACAGGAAAACAGAGCUGAAGAAAGGGAGCAGAACAGGAUGCCUGCCUCAGCACAUGCUGCCAACCCACAAGACGCCUUUACAAUCCUCCUCUCUGCUGUGGAUACCCCUGCGGCAGCCUGGUGGGACGCUCUGAUGUUCAAGCUGUGGCCAGCACUAGGAUCUCCCCCAAAGAUGCAGUGGAAGCACUCACUGGGUGGGGUGGGCCUGUACCCAGCACAGUGGGGCUGGGGUACUUACUCGGCUUUCUAACUUUUUGGGUUUUUGUUUUUUUUUUUUAAAGAUUUUUUUGUUUUGGUUUGGUUUGAUUUUGGUUUUCGAGACAGGGUUUCUCCAGCCCUGGCUGUCCUGGAACUCACU